rnacentral:rRNA from 1 species
AUUGAACGCUGGCGGCAGGCCUAACACAUGCAAGUCGAACGAGUGGCGGACGGGUGAGUAAUGUCUGGGAAACUGCCUGAUGGAGGGGGAUAACUACUGGAAACGGUAGCUAAUACCGCAUACCAUCGGAUGUUCCCAGAUGGGAUUAGCUUGUAGGUGAGGUAACGGGUCCACGGGGCGACGAUCCAUAGCGGGUCUGAGCGGAUGACCAGCCAAAAUGGAACUGAGACACGGUACAUGGUCAUACGGGAGUCAGCAGUGGGGAAUAGUGAACAAGGGGCGGAAGCCUGAUGAAGCCAUGCCGCGUGUAUGAGGAAGGCCUUCUGGUUGUAAGGUACUUUCAGCGGGGAGGCGUGACCCGCAGAAGAAGCACCGGCUAACGCCGUGCCAGCAGCCGCGGUAAUUC